CACCUACGGGAGGCAGCAGUGGGGAAUCUUGCGCAAUGGGCGAAAGCCUGACGCAGCCAUGCCGCGUGAAUGAUGAAGGUCUUAGGAUUGUAAAAUUCUUUCACCGGGGACGAUAAUGACGGUACCCGGAGAAGAAGCCCCGGCUAACUUCGUGCCAGCAGCCGCGGUAAUACGAAGGGGGCUAGCGUUGCUCGGAAUUACUGGGCGUAAAGGGCGCGUAGGCGGACAUUUAAGUCAGGGGUGAAAUCCCGAGGCUCAACCUCGGAACUGCCUUUGAUACUGGGUGUCUUGAGUGUGAGAGAGGUAUGUGGAACUCCGAGUGUAGAGGUGAAAUUCGUAGAUAUUCGGAAGAACACCAGUGGCGAAGGCGACAUACUGGCUCAUUACUGACGCUGAGGCGCGAAAGCGUGGGGAGCAAACAGGAUUAGAUACCCUGGUAGUCCACGCCGUAAACGAUGAUUGCUAGUUGUCGGGCUGCAUGCAGUUCGGUGACGCAGCUAACGCAUUAAGCA
rnacentral:rRNA from 1 species